CACUGCCUUAUUGCUGACAUCUGCAUUGUUGCGAACAUAUGUCUUGCUGCAGGUUUCACCCAACUCACUCUGAGAUCCUUCAAGAACUAUGAGAAAGAUCAAAACCUUACAGAUCAUGAACCUUCCCAAUCCCAAUCAGAUAAUGAGACCUCACUACAAGUUUGUGCUGAUUUAUCCAGCCUACAGAAAGUGUACAGGUCCAUAUUCCUGGGUUUGACAAGAAAAAGGUCUCUCUGCUUAACAGAUUACCCUUGUUGCAGGAGAGAGAAAAAGACUCUAAUGCAGAAGUUCUAUAAAAUCUCACUGCAGCUUCACUUUCGUGGUAAAUUUUACCAUGCGUGGGUAAAUGAUCGACCUAAUUACGUUUCUGAUAUCUUCCACAGAAGUCGUAUUAUUUCCUUCUGUUCCCCCAUCUGUCUCUGUCCAUCUGUUUUCUCAUAUGGUUGGCCUGUAAGAUCUUCGGGGCGGGGGUUGUUUUUUGUUUCCGUGUACAGCAUCUAA
rnacentral:lncRNA from 1 species